rnacentral:rRNA from 1 species
AAUACAACUUUCAGCAACGGAUCUCUUGGCUCUCGCAUCGAUGAAGAACGCAGCGAAAUGCGAUAAGUAAUGUGAAUUGCAGAAUUCAGUGAAUCAUCGAAUCUUUGAACGCACCUUGCGCCCUUUGGCUAUUCCGAAGGGCAUGCCUGUUUGAGUAUC